GUCUUAUUUGGCCCAACUCCAUGGAAGCCCAAACCCACACACCAAAGCCCAUCCUGGCAGGCCCAUAUCCUAGCCUACUUAAGCCCCUUAGCCCUAAUUGCUAAGAGAGGGAAAAGAGUGCAGAGAAAGCUGCGUGAGUUUGGAAUUGGAAAGGUCAUCUUCUCUUAGUGAGAUAGAGUGAGAAGUGCAGUUGAGUGUGAGAGAGAAGACGAUUGUUGUCGCUGUUCUUGUGUGAUCGAGCGAACCGUGUUCUCUAUCUCUCCAUUCGCCUUCCUCACGUGGAUCGAACAAGAAGCUUCGUGUCUUGCUUGUUCUCCCCCUGUUUCGUGUCUUCCCGACGCAGCUACUGUGAGGAGCCGCCGGAGAGGGUCAAGGGUGUCGUGGGUGCGUGGAGCUACCGGAGUUUGUUGUGGUGCAAGUUGCUGUGCGCUUUGAGAAGGAAACGGGACUGAGCCGAAGCUUUGCCCCCUGCUGCUCGUGCUUCUACAGCUGGAGCUGGAACGCCGCCGCCGCCGCCGCGCAGCUGCUCCCAGGGAAGUCACCGCUGCUGCGUCGUCUCGCCAGCUGCCGCUGCUGCGUCGUCUCGCCAGCUGCCGCACUGCUGCUGUCACGCUCCUGCUGUUGCUGCUGCUCUCUCCCUCCAAAGCUUGAAGAGCUCGUUGGCUUCGUGCUAACGAGUACGUGGACGACGACGUGCCGCGAUAAUACCCAACAGUGGUAUCAGAGCCACGGUUGGUACGUCGUCGCGUCCCUGACCUGCUGCAUCGGAACGCAGCGAUUCAAAUCGCUUUUGGUAAGUCGAGGUUCUGAUCUUAGGACCUCGCUCAGGUAAAGUGGCGAAACCUCCCCCGUUGUCUUAUAUUUAGAAAACUGCCGAGUGGUGCAGUUUAGGCUUGGGUUUGCUGCUGUUUCCCAAUGUGCGUUUUGAUUUGGGAGUAAUUUGACUUAAGCUGUGUGCUUUUAUCUUAUUAAUCUGAAAAUUGUUGUUUGCCUCGUGAAUCUGCUCUGUUUUGUGUUUUUCCGCUGCAUUUGUGAUUCUGUGAAGGCAUCUUAGUGUUAGGUCUCGGUGUUUAGCUUUGUUGUGUCUUGCUGUGAUAGCUUGGUAUGGCGUCUUUCUUUGGUAUGGCUCAUUUUGAUGGAAAAUCCGAUUUUAGUAUCUGGAAGCAGAAGAUGAAGUGCAUUUUAAUUCAGCAACAUGUGUUUAAAGCUGUUGAUCAUUCUUAUGCUGAAAAUGAGACUGAAGAAAAGAAAUCAGAUAUGAAUGAACUUGCAUUGUCCUCUAUCAUACUCAACUUAUCUGACUGUGUGCUUAGAAAAGUAGGAGUAUGUGAUUCUGCUAAAGAUUUGUGGUGUAAAUUGGAAGAGCUUUACACUGAAAAGUCGCUACCAUCCAAAUUGUUUUUACUCGAAAGAUUUUUUCAGUUUGAACUUGAUUUGUCUAAGGAUGUAGACGAAAAUUUGGAUGUGUUUUCAAAACUUGUGCAAGACAUUAAACUGACUGGCGAUGAACACAUUGAUGAUUAUGCCCCUAUUGUGCUGUUGAAUGCUAUUCCUGAGUCUUACAGUGAUGUCAAGUCUGCUAUUAAGUAUGGUAGAGACAACGUGACUUAUGAUACUGUUGUGAAUGCUUUGAAAAGCAAGGAACUUGAUUUGAAGCAUAAUGUUGGGAGGGAAUCCGAGAUGAAGGUUAUGCAUGUGAGAGAGAGAAAUCAAUUUAGGCCUCAAAAGCAUGCUAGUAACCAAGAUAAUGAUGACACUAAGAAAAAGAAGAAAAAGUCUUAUAAGACAAGGACUAAGAAGUGUUAUAACUGUGGUAAACCAGGUCAUUUUGCUAAAGACUGCCCUAGUUCUAGUUCUAGUUGUAGUUCUAGUUCAGAUGGUGAGUCAGAGUCUGAUGGUGAUUUGCAAAAUGAGCAUGCUAAUUUGGCUUCUUGUAGUGAUAACAUGGGUGAUUUAUUUUCGGUGGUUGGAGCAUGUGAUAACAACCUGUUGAAAUCUAUGCAUUCUGAUUGUCUGUGUGAAAGUGAAUGGCGUGUAGAUUCUGGUUGCUCUUUUCAUAUGUCGCCGUUUAAGAAUCUGUUUUCAAACUUUCAGACUGUUAGUAAUGGCUGUGUGUCUAUGGCUAAUGGUGCAAAAUGUCAUGUUGUUGGCAUUGGUGAUGUGCGUCUUAAGUUUGAGUCUGGAUAUGUUUUCACUUUGAAGCAUGUUAGGUAUGUGCCUGAUUUGUGUUUUAACCUCCUGUCUUGUUCCGCCUUAGAGAGUGAUGGGUUAGAAGGUAGGUGGGGAAAGGGUCUAAUGGAGAUUGUGAGAGGAUCCUUGAUUGUUUUCACAGCUGAAAAACGUGAUAACAUGUAUGUCUGCCUUGCUGAUCCUGUUACUGUUGUGUCUAACUGUGUGGAUGACACCCAAGUUGAAAAAGACUUGGAUUGGCGUGUGUUUUAGUCUGUCUUAUGAUACUGCUCACUUUGAGGUGGAGUUGUUCACCCCUCUUAGUUUAUGUGACCUGAACAUUUGUGUUUCUGUGUGUUUGAGCAUUGUGUUGCUCGUUUAGUUUGCUUGUGAUGUCUUUGUGACUUUACAGGUUUGAUCUUUGUGAUUGUCCAACUGUGUGUUGAGUCUGUCCUUCGUGAUCUGCGUGGUCUUUUAGGAUUGUUAGAUCUUAGUGAUCUAUGUGUUCUAUGUGUGUUCUACUGGUUGCUUUAUCUUGUGUGAUUUGCAGGUGUUUGGACACGGUUAGUUUACACGGUGAUCUGUGUGAUCGGAGCUUACUUUGUGUUUGCUCACUUGUUUCCCUUGUAUUGUCUGUGUGAUUUUACAGGGAUCUCGGCAAUGAUGAAUCCCAUUGUCCUUCUCGUUUGUGCACCACGAUUGGGCCAAAGGUGGAGAUUGUUAGUCUUAUUUGGCCCAACUCCAUGGAAGCCCAAACCCACACACCAAAGCCCAUCCUGGCAGGCCCAUAUCCUAGCCUACUUAAGCCUCUUAGCCCUAAUUGCUAAGUGAGGGAAAAGUGUGCAGAGAGAGGCAGCGUGAGUUUGAAUUGGGAGAGGCUAUUCUUCUCUUAGUGAGAUAGAGUGAGAAGUGCAGUUGAGUGUGGGAGAGAAGACGACUGUUGUCGCUGUUCUUGUGUGAUCGAGCGAAUCGUGUUCUCUAUCUCUCCAUUCACCUUUCUCACGUGGAUCGAACAAGAAGCUUCGUGUCUUGCUUGUUCUCCCCC
rnacentral:lncRNA from 1 species